rnacentral:rRNA from 1 species
GAGUAUGUAGAGGUAGUGGAAUUUCCUGUGUACGGUGAAAUCGUAGAUAUAGGAAGGAACACCAGUGGCGAAGGCGGCUACCUGGACCAAUACUGACACUGAGGUGCGAAAGCGUGGGGAUCAAACAGGAUUAGAUACCCUGGUAGUCCACGCCGUAAACGAUGUCUACUAGCCGUUGGGACUCUUGAAGUCUUAGUGGCGCACUAACGCACU